rnacentral:other from 1 species
GCUUCCCUGCGGCUACGCGUGAUGUCAGGGUAAGUUUCGAGCCUCAAUCGAAACGACAAGGGGGCUUGAGUGCGAGGGUGGUGUGCAGGCCCCUCCUAGAAGGGGAAGCCUAAAGCCCUCCUACAUAGCGCCCACCUGGAUCAUCCAGGUUCGAAAACGCCGGGGCACACGGUAGCGGCGGGGAAUUU